rnacentral:rRNA from 1 species
UACGUAGGGCGCAAGCGUUGUCCGGAAUUAUUGGGCGUAAAGAGCUCGUAGGCGGCCUGUCGCGUCGGUUGUGAAAGCCCGGGGCUUAACCCCGGGUCUGCAGUCGAUACGGGCAGGCUAGAGUUCGGUAGGGGAGAUCGGAAUUCCUGGUGUAGCGGUGAAAUGCGCAGAUAUCAGGAGGAACACCGGUGGCGAAGGCGGAUCUCUGGGCCGAUACUGACGCUGAGGAGCGAAAGCGUGGGGAGCGAACAGG